rnacentral:rRNA from 1 species
UACGUAGGUGGCAAGCGUUGUCCGGAUUUACUGGGCGUAAAGAGCGUGUAGGCGGUCCGGUAAGUCCGCUGUGAAAGUCGGGGGCUCAACCCUCGAAUGCCGGUGGAUACUGUCGGGCUAGAGUGCGGAAGAGGCGAGUGGAAUUCCUGGUGUAGCGGUGAAAUGCGCAGAUAUCAGGAAGAACACCCGUGGCGAAAGCGGCUCUCUGGAACGGUACUGACGCUGAGACGCGAAAGCGUGGGGAGCGAACAGG